AUGUAUGAUAAUUUUGUGACAAGUGUUCGAACAAGUGAUGUCGACACCGAUGAUUUCUCGAUUAAGAUAGGACUGCAUCAGGGGUCAGCUUUGAGCCCUUAUCUUUUUGCAUUGGUGAUGGAUGAGGUCACAAGGGAUAUACAAGGAGAUAUCCCAUGGUGUAUGCUCUUUGCGGAUGAUGUGGUGCUAAUUGACGAUAGUCGGGCGGGGGUAAAUAGGAAGUUAGAGUUAUGGAGACAAACCUUGGAAUCGAAAGGGUUUAGGCUUAGUAGAACUAAAACCGAGUACAUGAUGUGCGGUUUCAGUACUACUAGGUGUGAGGAUGAGGAGGUUAGCCUUGAUGGCCAGGUGGUACCUCGGAAGGACACCUUUCGGUAUUUGGGGUCAAUGCUGCUGGAGGAUGGGGGUAUUGAUGAAGAUGUGAACCAUCGAAUCAAAGCCGGAUGGAUGAAGUGGCGCCAAGCUUCUGGCAUUCUCUGUGACAAGAGAGUGCCAAAGCUAAAAGGCAAGUUCUAUAGGACGGCGGUUCGACCCGCAAUGUUGUAUGGCGCUGAGUGUUGGCCGACUAAAAGGCGACAUGUUCAACAGUUAGGUGUGGCGGAGAUGCGUAUGUUGAGAUGGAUGUGUGGCCACACGAGGAAGGAUCGAGUCCGGAAUGAUGAUAUACGAGAUAGAGUUGGGGUAGCACCAAUUGAAGAGAAGCUUGUCCAACAUCGUCUAAGAUGGUUUGGGCACAUUCAGCGCAGGCCUCCAGAAGCUCCAGUGCAUAGCGGACGGCUAAAGCAUGCAGAGAAUGUCAAGAGAGGGCGGGGUAGACAGAGAGAACGUAUCCUGUGA
rnacentral:rRNA from 1 species